AGAUAUCACAUAUUUGCAUAAGUGCUUCGAUGUUUUCGGAGACGUCUGUUACCCACCAGCUCGAAAGCUAGCCGGCCCAGAAUUCAUUGCGGAAUUUUUCAAGUAACGAUGGCGGCACAAGAAGAUAAACCAGGAGAUGAAUACACUUAUAAAUGGACCAAAGAGCAAACAGCAGACUUCAUAAAAAUUAGAGGAGAAAACGAUCACCUCUUCACCGGGGUAAAAAAUUCAGCCACUGUGGGAUGGAGGAACAAGAAUAAAUCAAUUUACACAUCAUAUUCAUCUGAGUACGGUUUCAAUAACCCUCAUUCUCUACAGAACCUGUGAUGUCCAGAAGGACUAUUCUCGAGAAGAUGGGCCUGCAAGGGAAAGUCACCCCCUUGCAGGCCAAAAAGAAGUGGGACAACUU
ensembl:lncRNA